CUCAAGCCUCUAGAGAAGUUACCGCACGAGAGGACCGAGGAGGAAAACGCGAAGAUCGUGCGGACCGAAGUGAAGGACUUCUUUGAAGGGUUGAAAGCAAAGAGACAUCCACCUCCGGAGGAGAAGGUAGAUCCGGUGAAAGCAAAUCGCACUAUCGAUGCCCUGAGGAAACCACCAAAGUCUCCGCCGAAAACCAACUAUGAGCGCAUUACUGAAAAGGCAUAUCUCGAAGCGGAGCGGUCGGGAAGUACUGUCAGUGAUCAAAGGUUAAAAGAACGAGCAGCUGGGAAAAAAAUUGCCCAGCUCGGCGAACAAGCAAACCAAUCGUGCCCCCCGCUCAAUGUGUCUAGCGACAUCGUCGCUAAUGCUCCGGGGAUGGUGCCCGGUUAUAGCAAUCUUGGAGAUUACCUGCCCGACGAUGUACAUUAUGAUUUCUUGGAGGUGGACGAACACAGAUACGAGUACGGGAAG
rnacentral:rRNA from 1 species